UCAUCUUUUGGACCAUAAUUCUUCACAUUCUUGGCCUCUUUAGUUCUCAAAUUCGUCCAUCCACUUUGGCCAAAAUAUGUGGCAUGCAUUCCAAGCUCCAUUUUGCUCCAAAAUGCAUCUUCUUGCCUACUUUGUCCAUAAAAUCUGAAAACACACGAAAAUGACUUUAAACAUUAAAAUAACUAAGGAAACACGACAUAAAUGCACAAGAACAAGCCAACUAAGUCGCAUAAAUAUGCUCCUAUCAUUAUUUUCACACAAGAAUUUUUUACUACACUCCCUAUACUAGGUAUAUGUGAGAAGAUUGAUGUAAACAUGAAAACUAGUACUCACAUAUGUUUUUCAACAAAGAAGCAAUUUCUGGAAUUAUUAAUUCAUGUAUAUAUAUGAUCUCAUGAAUGGAAUGCUACUACUUAGAUGCGAGAACCAGUGACACCAUAUGCUCAUAUCAAUUUCAAGCUCCACAAAUUGAAACACACAACACUCAAGAUUGAAGUCAAGGGUUGUAACAGGGCUUGGGGGUAAUGGCUAA
rnacentral:lncRNA from 1 species